CUUGGUCAUUUAGAGGAAGUAAAAGUCGUAACAAGGUUUCCGUAGGUGAACCUGCGGAAGGAUCAUUAAUGAAACAAACCGGGGGCGGUGGGGCGCGGCCUCGCACCAACGAACACCCCCUAGCCCCGGCUCGCCCCCACCCCUCAUCCGAAACCCACAAACCUGUGCACCAAAGGGACGGCGGGUGGAUAACGGACGCCGUCUCGAUUUAACAAGCUCAAAAGUCUAUUUUGAAUGUCAUUUAUUGGGGCUAGACCCGAUGAAACAUAAACGUAAUUACUUUCAACAACGGAUCUCUUGGCUCUCGCAUCGAUGAAGAACGCUGCGAAAUGCGAUAAGUUCUGUGAAUUGUAUAAUUCAGUGUAUCAUCCAAUCUUUGAACUCACCUUGCGCCCGGUGUCAUUCCGAUGGGCAUGCCUGUUUGAGUGUAUUGAAAUCAUCGAGGCCGUUCGGUUUCACAGCCUAACGGGGUUGGACUUGGGGGUAUGCCUCUUUGCAUCGGCUCCCCUCACCGCGUCGGUUUCCGGGCUCUGUGGGAGUCACCCCUUGGGCGUCGUAUAACCCUCGUUGUCAGGGAGCUCCGCGCGACGUCUGAAUCGUUGGACGAACUUGGAUAAUCCUCAACAUGCUGUAUUUGGCGGUCAAUGUUCCGUCGAGACCUGACCUCAACUCAAGUGGGACUACCCGCUGAAGCUUACCCUAUCAAUUCCACGGAGGA
rnacentral:rRNA from 1 species